UGCAACACUCAUGACAAUAGUGCAGAGCUGUGCAGGCUCCAUACUUCUGUCAGAGACGGCAGACAGUGACAAGUCCCACACAGGAGCUCGAAUCCCAUCUCCAAUACAGAAGUAGCCUGUCAAGGAAACUGAGGCAGAAUUUGCUGGAUGAUGUAAUGGGACUGUAACCUUCAAGUUAAACUAAAGGAUUGAUUGAGUACUGUAUCUAAGCAACAAGAUGGAUGGAGAAAGAAUACUGAAGGACUGUAAUAUUGA